CAGCCCUAAACGAUGCGCGUUAGGUGUAUCGGUGACCACGAGUUACCGAGGUGCCGAAGGGAAACCGUGAAACGUGCCGCCUGGGAAGUACGGUCGCAAGGCUGAAACUUAAAGGAAUUGGCGGGGAGCACCACAACAGGUGGAGCCUGCGGUUUAAUUGGACUCAACGCCGGGAAGCUCACCGGAUAGGACAGCAGAAUGAUUGCCGGGCUGAAGACCCUGCAUGACUAGCUGAGAGGUGGUGCAUGGCGUCAGUGACU
rnacentral:rRNA from 1 species